CAGCCGCCGCGGGAAUACGUAGGGUGCAAGCGUUAACCGGAAUUACUGGGCGUAAAGCGUGCGCAGGCGGUUAUGUAAGACAGAUGUGAAAUGCCCGGGCUUAACCUGGGAACUGCAUUUGUGACUGCAUGGCUAGAAUCUGGCAGAGGUGGGUAGAAUUCCACGUGUAGCAGUGAAAUGCGUAGAUAUGUGGAGGAAUACCGAUGGCGAAGGCAGCCCCCUGGGCCAAGAUUGACGCUCAUGCACGAAAGCGUGGGGAGCAAACAGGAUUAGAUACCCCCGUAGUCCCUGUCUCUUAUAC
rnacentral:rRNA from 1 species